rnacentral:lncRNA from 1 species
GUAAAAUACUACGAUUCUAAUACAGUACUGUUCUUUAGUCUGGGGCCUUUACUAGAAGGACUGCACACAAUGUGGUUGUAAAAGGUGUGGUGCGUAGUAGAUACACAUCACAUAUUAGGCUGGAUGAAUGGCAAGGUAAAUAAAUAUACGGUAAUUGGCUUAAAGUAUAAGCUGACUUACUCUCUGAUUUACAAACGUUUGGCAUUUCUCAACUAGUGGUUAUGAAAAUUGUAUGUAACCUCUGGGCAAAAUAAACAGAUUUG